rnacentral:rRNA from 1 species
AACGAACGCUGGCGGCAGGCCUAACACAUGCAAGUCGAACGGGACCUUCGGGUCUAGUGGCGGACGGGUGAGUAACGCGUGGGAACGUGCCCUUUGGUUCGGAAUAGCCCUGGGAAACUGGGAGUAAUACCGGAUACGGUCGAGAGACGAAAGAUUUAUCGCCGAAGGAUCGGCCCGCGUUGGGUUAGGUAGUUGGUGGGGUAAUGGCCUACCAAGCCGACGAUCCAUAGCUGGUUUGAGAGGAUGAUCAGCCACACUGGGACUGAGACACGGCCCAGACUCCUACGGGAGGCAGCAGUGGGGAAUCUUAGACAAUGGGGGAAACCCUGAUCUAGCCAUGCCGCGUGAGCGAUGAAGGCCUUAGGGUUGUAAAGCUCUUUCAGUGGGGAAGAUAAUGACGGUACCCACAGAAGAAGCCCCGGCUAACUCCGUGCCAGCAGCCGCCGUAA